CCAAUUGAAGAUGAAGAGCUCUUGACAUACAUUCUCACCGGGCUUGACUUAGAUUUCGAUCCCAUAGUCUCUGCCCUUCUUGCAAGCAAGGAAUCUGUGUCGGUAAGAGAUGCUUAUACUCAACUUCUUGCUUUUGAGA